GGACCUCGCCAGUGCUUUGGGUAAUUUUGGUCGGAAAGGAUGGGUCCGUGUUGAACUCUUCAAGUUCCGUUUUGUCAAAAAUGGCCCAAAAGACGAGACGCAUACUGCCUUGAACGCUGCAAAAGACAGAAUAAAGAGAAAUGAAAUUGAGGGACGCUCAACUCUAGCCACUGUACGUGACACUUACCUAGCGAAUUCCGAUGUAGUUGAAGUCUGGUUGAGGAACGUUUUUCCCGCCCAAACAUACUGCGAGUAGACUCUCCUCAAAGCUACCACGAACGCCAGAUAGAU